ACGCGUCAUACACCUGCACCCGGGAGGAAAGGCGAGGCUCUGCAUCUAGAUUUACCUCGUUCUCUUUUGUCUCCGCUUUUUUUUCACAUUUCCUUGCGACCCUGGCCCUUGAGCGACAAAAAGGGGAAGCCAAGGCUGGCCCGAGGAACGGAGAGGGCACAUGGCCUAGCCACAAGUGGAGCUUCUGCUCCGCCCGAAGGGAUGCGCUGGAGCGGCCUCUUCCUUCUGCCACGGUCUUUCUUUGCCAACUAGUAGGUGAGGGCCGAAAGGCCGCGGGCCGUGGAGCUCGGGCCGGGGAGACUCUUUUCUAGCCUCUUGGGUCCCGCUCCUCCCAAUUCCCUGGAGAGGCGUCGAGCUUGCUGGGAAGUGCCCUCGGGUAAGGGGCGCGGAGCCUCCUGCGGCGAUCCUCUGUCUUCGGGUCGCCUUAGCAGGACGCGGCAAGCGGGACACUGACCUGGCCGGAGUCCCGCGUUCUCUCACCAGCUGCUUUGUCCACGAGUUGCUGCUGGGCGUCAGGGGUCCCACGGCCCGGAGGGAUCUAGAGCAGGGGGGCUCGGGGUCCUUUCCAUACCCUCGGAUCCUCUCCCACUCUCUCCACGCCUCGACCCGGAGAUGAUUUCAGGCUCCAGAUCUCUUUCAUAAAUGGAAAGAGUUUUUUUGGUUUGUUUUGUCUUAAUUAUGUAGGUGUUGCAUGCUUGGAAGAGAAAAUUUAGAAAAUUAAUUGGAAAACCAUAAAGAUAGCUUUCUCGUGAUAGCCACAAGGCUUGCUCCCUCAUUCUGCUCAUAUGUCACCCCCUCAAGGAGGCCUUCCCCAGCUCUGUAAACAACCUGUGCUCGGCGUUAACUUUUCUCCCUAAUGUUUAUCACUACCUGACAUAUACGUGUUUCCCACGACUCAACGAUAAGUGUUCAUGAGGGCAGACACUUUUUAAUGCCCUAUGACAAGCACCUAGAAUUGUGCCUGGCACAUGGUAGAUGCUUAGUAAAUAUUUGUUUAAUGAAUGAAGGUAAAAAACAUUUCUAAUACGACCAUCCAGGAAUAAGUACUAUUCAUGUUUUAGUGUGUUCUUACAGUUUUACUGUUCAGACAGUUAUAUGCCUGUGAAUAUAUAUUAUAUAUGUGUGUAUAUAUAUAUAUAUAUAUAUAUAUAUAUUUUUUUUUUUUUUUUGAGACAGAGUCUCGCUCUGUCACCCAGGCUGGACUGCAGUGGCGCGAUCUUGGCUCACUGCAACCUCCGCCUCCUGGAUUCAAGCGAUUCUUCUGCCUCAGCCUCCCGAGUAGCUAGGAUUACAGGCAUGUGUCACCACGCCCGGCUAAUUUUGUAUUUUUAGUAGAGACGGGGUUUCUCCGUGUUGGUCAGGCUGGUCUCGAACUCCUGACCUCAGGUGAUCUGCCCGCCUCGGCCUCCCAAAGUGCUGAGAUUACAGACGUGAGCCACCGUGCCUGGCGGAAUUUUCAUAUUUUAAGUCCCCCACCCUUGGACAUUUAGAUUUUUUCCAUCUUUCUGUAUUUGCAGAUAUGCUUCUACGUACACCUUUAUUCAUUUGCUUGAACAUUUCCCUGAGAAAAACUAGAAAUGGAAUUGCCAGAUUACUUUGUGUACAUGUUUCCAAACUGUCCUCCAGAAAGAAUGUAAUGCUUUGAACUUCCACUUGAGAAUCAAAUGUUUACCUUCCUCUGUUCCUCCAGAUUUGGACAUUUACAGUGUUCAGCCGUUGUUGUGGCAUUCCAAUUCAAUUGGGAAACAGCUUGAUGUAGCGUCCCCAUAAGGUCCACAGUAAUUAAAUUUUUUUUUUUUUUUUUUGGUGCGGUAGUGCAAUUUCAUGGCUCACUGCAACCUCCACCUCCCAGGUUCAAGCGAUCCUCCCAUCUCAGCCUCCCUAGUAGCUGGGAUUACAGGUGCACGCCACCACACCAGGCUAAUUUUUGUAUUUUUAGUAGAGAUGGGGUUUCACCAGGUUAGCCAGGCUGGUCUUGAACUCCAGACCUCAAGGGAUCCGCCUGCCUCAGCUUUCCAAAGUGCUGGGAUUACAGGUGGAGACUGGACCUCAGAAGAGGGAGUGGGUGCCCCGAGAACUCACAGCUAGCGGACAGUGGAAAGGGCAGGAGCCGGACCAAGUGUUCAUCCAUCGCCCUGUAUUAGCGAAGAACAACAUCAAGCUGGCUAGCAAGGAACUGUAUACAGGGUCCAGCUGGGUAUCACACUGGAUCUCACCCAAAGCUUAGAUGUGAUCCAGCUCAGUAUCACAAAGCAGAACGAAAAGGAUGUGUUUGGGCUGAGAGGCCAUACAUUGGCUCCGGCAUGACGGGUGACUUCUUCCGAGUCUGGCUUCUGCAGCACACAGGGCUUCGCCAGCACCCAGCUCCUGCAGCAUGGGCAGCUCCUGUGACAGCAGGCGCCCGCAGCCUGCAAAGCGUCUCCAGUGCCGCCGCCUCAGUGAACCUCAACCAGCGGCACCUAGCAGCUUUCUCUGCCACCCUCUUCAGGUCUGGAUCUAAGCCCAGGGACCAGGAAACCUCUUGCUUGAGUGCUGGAACUCAGGCCAGAAGGCAGGAAGCCCGCCUGACCCCAUGUCUCAGGCUGCCAGAGGAGCGUGCGAUGAGGAAGGCUGGACUGUCUUCACAGGACACCAGGGAGAAGCCUCAAGCCACUGCCCCCUGACAAGUCGCAGCUCUCCAGCCUGUCUCCUCACUCCCCUCCCCUCCACAUGGGGGGGUUGGGGUGGGGGCGGGGAAGGUUCGGGGCAGGGGUCAUUUCAGCUACUGGGCACCAGUCUCCUCCUCAUGUUUAUCCUGUUCCCUUUGCUUGAAAGGUUCGUACUCCAGAUCCUUGUAAAACCGCUUCUCACCCUUUGAGUCUCAGCUUAAAUGUCCCCUCCUUGGAGGGGUCUUCCCUGACAAUGAAGCUCCGACCGUCCUCUCCUGUUUUACCCAGUUCAUUUCUUUCUGGCAUUUGUAACUACUUGAAGUUAAAGUGUGUGCCAUGUAUGUGUCUGUCAGUUUCCCCCACCACACUGGAACCCCAUGAGGGCAAGGGUCUUGUCUGGAAUCUUCCUCACUUACAACUCAACAUUUAGCAAAGGACCUUUGCUAAAUUAACAGGCAUUCAUUUUGUAUUUGAAAAAUGAACUAGUGAGGCCGGGCGUGGUGGCUCACACCUGCAAUCCCGGCACUUUGGGAGACCGAGGCGGGCUUGAGGUCAGGAGUUCGAGACCGGCCUGGCCAACAUGGUGAAACCCCAUUAAAAAUACAAAAAUUGGCUGGGCGCGGUGGCUCACGCCUGUAAUCCCAACACUUCGGGAGGCUGAAGCGGGCGGAUCACGAGGUUAGGAGUUCAAGACCAGCCUGACCAACAUAGUGAAACCCCAUCUCUACUAAAAAUACAAAAAUUAGCCGGGCAUGAUGGCAGGCGCCUGUAAUCCCAGCUACUCGGGAGGCUGAGGCGGAAGAAUCGCUUGAACCAGGAGGUGGAGAUUGCCGUGAGCUGAGAUCACGCCACUACACUCCAGCCUGGGCAACAGAGCACGAAUCCAUCUCCGAAAAACAAACAAAAAAACGAAUGUGUGAGGAACGCAGCAAAGCCCCUACAGUUAACGUUUGCCGCCCUCUGCCCCUCAG
rnacentral:lncRNA from 1 species